GCAUUUGUGUAUAUAUCUUAGCAUUUAUCGACUUCUUUUCUUUAUAUAAAAGAUAUAUAUCGUGCUGAAUAUAAAUAUUAAAAAUACCGUUCUCCGAUAGCUUAAGAUUUCGAAAAAUAAUGAUUCUUUGAUAUUCUUAAACAUAUAGUAUCAGAGCAUGAUUAACUUGGUUUAAUUCAAGUCCACAUCAUCUCGGGUCUAUCAGAAAGUCGCAGCUCAAGUUUUUAGAGAAUAACAGCUGCAUCGGAGACUCGAACAUCGAAAUCGAGGAGCGAAACGAAGCGCGACUGAAAGUUCGGGGACUGGCAG
rnacentral:lncRNA from 1 species